rnacentral:misc_RNA from 1 species
CCGAGUUUACAACUCCCAAACCCCUGUGAACAUACCAAUUGUUGCCUCGGCGGAUCAGCCCGCUCCCGGUAAAACGGGACGGCCCGCCAGAGGACCCCUAAACUCUGUUUCUAUAUGUAACUUCUGAGUAAAACCAUAAUAAAUCA